UACGUAGGGUGCAAGCGUUGUCCGGAAUUAUUGGGCGUAAAGAGCUCGUAGGCGGUCUGUCGCGUCGGCUGUGAAAACUCGGGGCUCAACUCCGAGCUUGCAGUCGAUACGGGCUGGCUAGAGGCAGGCAGGGGAGAACGGAAUUCCUGGUGUAGCGGUGAAAUGCGCAGAUAUCAGGAGGAACACCGGUGGCGAAGGCGGUUCUCUGGGCCUGUACUGACGCUGAGGAGCGAAAGCGUGGGGAGCGAACAGG
rnacentral:rRNA from 1 species